ACCGGGUUGCCCCUCUGUCUGGGCCGGUGAUGUAGGUGGCCUUUCCCUUGCUCUGCCUAUGAUGCCCACACAGAAAAUGAGAUGGGCGUGGCCUUUGAGCUGUCAGUCAAUCUGCUGACAGCAAGAUAUCAGGAAGCUAGACUCCACCCCCCGAAACCUGACCCCUUUGCACUUCUUGGGAUAGAAUAUUCUGUGGAAUCUCCCUUUGUGUGUCCCCUCUAUCAGAAUAACGAGUUCCAGCGGCUGUCCCUCUUUCCACGGACCCCUAGGGUGGGAGGGCCAUUUCCAGAAUUUGAAAAGGUACUUCUGUGAGCUCUUCUGCUGUCUUCACUAUUUCAUUGACUUAUUGGAAUAGUCAGGUUUGUGAACCCAGCAUAAAUUGCCAGCUAGGAUAGAUGGCGACUUGAGUGUGGGAGACCCCAGGUUCCUGCGUUGAAUCCAAACCCAGGGGCUGGGGUUGGAGGUGAGACUCUAGGAGGGGCUGAGGUCUUGAGGUGCAGCCAUGAAUGGAAGGAGGGUCCUUAUCAAAGAGACCCAGAGAGCUUGCUGCCCUUCCACAUGUGAGGAACCAGGAGAAGGAGCCAUCUGUGAGCAGGAAGCAGCCCUCAGAGGCCCAGGGGGUCUGGCACACCUGGAUCUCUGGCAGCCGUCUGCAGAGCUGAGGGCAGUCGGGGUCUGUGGUCUGUAGCCACCACCCCCCUUCCCCCUGGCUGGGGUGUUUUGUUCCAGCAGCCCAGGAAGACUGAACACAGUGGCCACCAGCCCUCAGACCAGGCAAAUGACCUGAGUGUGGGUGUCCCACCCAGAAGUCUUAUAUGGAAAUCUUUACCCUCCCCCCAGGUGAUGGUGUUAGAUAGUAAGGGCUUUGGGGAGGAGAGAGGCUUGCACAGCACACUGUAGCUCCUCAGGCCAAAUGUCUUCCUGCGAUCUCCAAAUAAGAGCAAUAAAAGGGAAGCCAUCUAAACCACCCGAAUUUUAUGUUGGCAUAGAAGCAAUUUUGCAAAAACCACAUGACCCUGGAACUGAAUGUGAGUCAGAAGACAAACAGCACUGUGGGU
rnacentral:lncRNA from 1 species